rnacentral:lncRNA from 1 species
AAGGAAGGUGGGAAGGGUUGGAGAAAGCAGGGGACAGAGAUUUCUGAGAGUUGCCUUCUUACAGACACAGGAGGUACUUUACACCACUUUGGGCACUGUUCAAGUGAAGCUUCAGUGUUUUCAUGUGAGAUGGAGGUUAAAUGCCGAAGAAGACUUUCCAGUGGUCAAAGAUGAUGAGAUUCUGAAUACAACAAUGGGAAAAAUUUAUGGACUGUUAAGGACAGAUCUCCAAACUGGAUUGAGCUCCAAUUGCUUGAGAAUUAAAGAGGGCUCUCCUCUCCUUUUCUUGACUCCCAGGAGUUUACUGGAGUGAACUCUCCUAAUACGGAUAGCCCAUGGGCACAGCAUGAAUGGUGUUAACGAAAGGAUAAAGCACAA